AUAGUAUUCGUCAAGGAACAUGAAAUAAUUUGUUAAUAAUACAUUGAUUCUCGUUCAUGAGAUCAACCUGCUUGUAUCCUGCCUUCUUUUUGCCUUCACGUUGUUGCCUCUCUAUAGCUGCCAUUUUCAGAGCUUCUUCGUCUUCCUCAGCAUGACUGCUGCUUCUACUAUGAUUUGCAGUCACAAACACUUCUUCAAAGCUCCAACUCUGGCUUCUAAUUGAGUUCCCGCUUGGUGUUCUUCUCCUUCCCUUUCCACAACUCUUUACUUUCUCUAUCUCCAUUGUUUUUUAAGAUUAAGCCUGCAUAGAAUGUUCGGUAUCUAGUUAUAUUUUGGUAAAAGAGAUGGGCCAAUUCAUGUUAUGUGAAAAGUAAGAGAAGCAGAGCUUUUGGAAAUUUCAGAUAUUUUGUCUACUUGAGUUUUUUCUAGCUAGUAUAUAUUUGCAGCUUUGAACUUUAGUGAAUGAGUUGUUUGGUUGCAGUGUCUACAUGUAGCUAUCUAAAGUUCUGUUUUGCCGGCUUUAAAUUAUUAUAGAACGUGAAACUAUGCACUGCUUUUGUAACAGAUUUCGGUUAAUAUGGUUAAAGGAUUCUACGUGUUAGACCGUCGGGUCAGAUUGGUUGACCACCAAACUUUUGGUUAUUUUUUUCCUUAAAUAUAUCAAUCCUGUAUAAUUUAUUUAUCUUGUCAUCAAAAAUAGUAACAACGUGGAUGGGCGAGACAUGUUAAGUGACAGGUAGCAUCUAUAUGUUGCUCAUAAUAGAUCAUUUUCGCUUGGCUUCACCUGGAAACUGGAGCGAGGAGGAUGCAUUUAACUACACUUGAGUUAACCUAUAUUUGACCCAUUAGCAGUGUGAUACUAUUCGCUUCCCAUGCUUUCACACGUCGAGGCAUGGAGCCACGUGGAGUUGAAGGUUGGCCAUGACCCCCCACAAUCUCUAUAAAACUCUAUUUAACUAUUUUUAUCUAUAUGUUUUGUCCAAAGUCAAAUUUUUAUUCGGCUCCCCUAGACAUCUGUUUCUGACCAUAAGUGUUAACCUAUA